CCUACGGGUGGCUGCAGUGGGGGAUAUUGCACAAUGGGGGAAACCCUGAUGCAGCGACGCCGCGUGAGUGAAGAAGUAUUUCGGUAUGUAAAGCCCUAUCAGCAGGGAAGCAAAUGACAGUACCUGACCAAGAAGCCCCGGCUAACUACGUGCCAGCAGCCGCGGUAAUACGUAGGGGGCAAGCGUUAUCCGGAUUUACUGGGGUUAAAGGGAGCGUAGGCGGUUAGGUAAGUCUGGAGUGAAAUGCCGGAGCUUAACCCCGGAACUGCUUUGGAAACUGGGCAGCUCGAGUGCAGGAGAGGUAAGUGGAAUGCCUGGUGUAGCGGUGAAAUGCGUAGAUAUUAGGAGGAACACCAGUGGCGAAGGCGGCUUACUGGCCUGUAACUGACGUUGAGGCUCGAAAGCGCGGGUAUCGAACAGGAUUAGAUACCCCUGUAGUC
rnacentral:rRNA from 1 species